CCCUUAGACACUCUAGGCGGCACGCGCGCUACAAUGGGUGGAAGAACGUGUUACUGCCUCCGAAAGGAGGGGUGAAUCACGAAUUCUUGCCCGUGAAUGGGAUAGUUUGUUGCAAUUUUCGGACUUGAACUAGGAAUCCCUUGUAAACAUGCUCAAGAAUAGCGUGUUGAAUACGUUCCUGCCGUUUGUACACACCGCCCGUCGUUUCUUCCGACUGAUACUCAUUGUGAGUUGCAAGGACCCUUUAUUGGGAAAUUGCUGCAAAUGCUUUGUAUUGGAGGAAGAAAAAGUCGUAACA
rnacentral:rRNA from 1 species